GUGGGGAAUUUUGGACAAUGGGCGCAAGCCUGAUCCAGCCAUUCCGCGUGCAGGAUGAAGGCCUUCGGGUUGUAAACUGCUUUUGUACGGAACGAAAAGCCUCUGGUUAAUACCCGGGGGUCAUGACGGUACCGUAAGAAUAAGCACCGGCUAACUACGUGCCAGCAGCCGCGGUAAUACGUAGGGUGCGAGCGUUAAUCGGAAUUACUGGGCGUAAAGCGUGCGCAGGCGGUGAUGUAAGACAGGCGUGAAAUCCCCGGGCUCAACCUGGGAAUUGCGCUUGUGACUGCAGUGCUGGAGUGCGGCAGAGGGGGAUGGAAUUCCGCGUGUAGCAGUGAAAUGCGUAGAUAUGCGGAGGAACACCGAUGGCGAAGGCAAUCCCCUGGGCCUGCACUGACGCUCAUGCACGAAAGCGUGGGGAGCAAACAGGAUUAGAAACCCGAGUAGUCC
rnacentral:rRNA from 1 species